rnacentral:rRNA from 1 species
AUGCAUGACAUAGGCUUGAUCAAAUCUUACUCUUUUAAUCACAAUAGCAUAGCAGUAACAUGUUAUAACGUUGGAUCAAGAAAAGCAUAUGUAAUAAGUUCUCUCAUGUUUAAUUACCUCAAUUGUCAAGCAGUGUUAGGUGUUGUAUACAUUUACUGCUAUCAAUCGACUACAGUAGUCAUCUUGAUGCUUGGGACUUGCAUAUAUUCUACUGCACUUGAAACAUCAACAAGUAUUUUUCCUUGUUUUUUGGAACAAUUGGUGAACUUCAUAUUCUUGAAUAAAUGCAUUACUAUUCGGUAUAGUUCUAGGCGGCUCUUUGUAUUUUACAGCUCCUUAUCAUGUCCCUCUAAUAUUUUUUUAGGUGGCCAUGAACUCAGUAAAUCAUCAGGAAAUGCCUUUGUGCAGCUCACCUAUGGCCUUGUUUGUCCUGCAGGUUAG